AAGUAAAACGCGAAAACUACAAAUUAACCAAACCCCAAAUUGGACCCUUUCAACACGGACUAAGAUGAACACCCGCGCAAAUUCUUGAGACAAUUUAAAAGAAUUAAAGAAAGCAUGGAAAGGGUUCAAUCGAACACUAGCGCAAAAGGGAAGGACUGGCCGCGAAAAUUACCCAUUUAAGGUAAAAUGCCCGGACCCAGCCUAGCAAUUGCGAUGUAACUCCGGUACCGUGGGAGAGUGCACGAUCGUGGGUCAUGGACACGCGAGCUAGGGGUUGUGUGUGGGCGUGCCGACGUACGUGGGGCGCUGAACGUAGGGGGCUGCGGCGCAAGGGGAAGAAGGGAACUUAGGGUUUCUAAAUUUGGGCUUUCUGUCACUAUGCUAUUUUAAUGUAAUUGAGCUGGGUUUUCUUUUUGGGUUUAUUAUUUGUAAAUGGACAUUUAAUAUUUUAUUUUAUUCUUUGGUUUUUGUAUGUGCAUAGGCCCGGGCCAAAAUUGGGUCUUACACCCAUAAAUAAGAAAAUAAUGCGCUUCAACGUA